CGGCGGAACACGUGAAAUUCCGUCGGAAUCCGGGAGGACCAUCUCCCAAGGCUAAAUACUCCCUAGUGACCGAUAGUGAACCAGUACCGUGAGGGAAAGGUGAAAAGCACCCCGGAAGGGGAGUGAAACAGUUCCUGAAACCGUGUGCCUACAAGUAGUUAGAGCCCGUUAAUGGGUGAUAGCGUGCCUUUUGUAGAAUGAACCGGCGAGUUACGAUUUGUUGCAAGGUUAAGCGGAAAAAGCGGAGCCGUAGCGAAAGCGAGUCUGAAUAGGGCGCAUAAGUAACAGGUCGUAGACCCGAAACCAGGUGAUCUACCCAUGUCCAGGAUGAAGGUAAGGUAAUACUUACUGGAGGUCCGAACCCACGCACGUUGAAAAGUGCGGGGAUGAGGUGUGGGUAGCGGAGAAAUUCCAAUCGAACUUGGAGAUAGCUGGUUCUCUCCGAAAUAGCUUUAGGGCUAGCCUCGAGGUAAAGAGUCAUGGAGGUAGAGCACUGUUUGGACUAGGGGCCCUUCUCGGGUUACCGAAUUCAGAUAAACUCCGAAUGCCAUGUACUUAUACUCGGGAGUCAGACUGCGAGUGAUAAGAUCCGUAGUCGAAAGGGAAACAGCCCAGACCACCAGUUAAGGUCCCCAAAUAUAUGUUAAGUGGAAAAGGAUGUGGGGUUGCUUAGACAACCAGGAUGUUGGCUUAGAAGCAGCCACCAUUGAAAGAGUGCGUAAUAGCUCACUGGUCGAGUGACCCCGCGCCGAAAAUGUACCGGGGCUAAACAUAUUACCGAAACUGUGGAUGAACCUCUUCGGAGGUUCGUGGUAGGAGAGCGUUCUAAGGGCGGUGAAGUCAGACCGGAAGGACUGGUGGAGCGCUUAGAAGUGAGAAUGCCGGUAUGAGUAGCGAAAGAAGGGUGAGAAUCCCUUCCACCGAAUAUCUAAGGUUUCCUGAGGAAGGCUCGUCCGCUCAGGGUUAGUCGGGACCUAAGCCGAGGCCGAUAGGCGUAGGCGAUGGACAACAGGUAGAGAUUCCUGUACCAGUGCUAAUUGUUUAACCGAUGGGGUGACACAGAAGGAUAGGGAAUCGCACGAAUGGAAAUGUGCGUCCAAGCAGUGAGUGUGAGAAGUAGGCAAAUCCGCUUCUCGCGAAGCAUGAGCUGUGAUGGGGAAGGAAAUUAAGUACGGAAGUUCCUGAUUUCACGCUGUCAAGAAAAGCCUCUAGGAAGAGUAGUACUGCCCGUACCGCAAACCGACACAGGUAGAUGAGGAGAGAAUCCUAAGGUGAGCGAGAGAACUCUCGUUAAGGAACUCGGCAAAAUGACCCCGUAACUUCGGGAGAAGGGGUGCUCUAUUAGGGUGCAAGCCCGAGAGAGCCGCAGUGAAUAGGCCCAGGCGACUGUUUAGCAAAAACACAGGUCUCUGCAAAACCGUAAGGUGACGUAUAGGGGCUGACGCCUGCCCGGUGCUGGAAGGUUAAGAGGAGUGCUUAGCUUCGGCGAAGGUACGAAUUGAAGCCCCAGUAAACGGCGGCCGUAACUAUAACGGUCCUAAGGUAGCGAAAUUCCUUGUCGGGUAAGUUCCGACCCGCACGAAAGGCGCAACGAUCUGGGCACUGUCUCAACGAGAGACUCGGUGAAAUUAUAGUACCUGUGAAGAUGCAGGUUACCCGCGACAGGACGGAAAGACCCCGUGGAGCUUUACUGCAACCUGAUAUGGAAUGUUUGUACCGCUUGUACAGGAUAGGUAGGAGCCGAAGAGACGUGUGCGCUAGCAUACGAGGAGGCAAUGGUGGGAUACUACCCUGGCUGUAUGACCAUUCUAACCCGCCACGCUUAGCGCGUGGGGAGACAGUGUCAGGUGGGCAGUUUGACUGGGGCGGUCGCCUCCUAAAGAGUAACGGAGGCGCCCAAAGGUUCCCUCAGAAUGGAUGGAAAUCAUUCGCAGAGUGUAAAGGCACAAGGGAGCUUGACUGCGAGACUGACAAGUCGAGCAGGGACGAAAGUCGGGCUUAGUGAUCCGGUGGUUCCGCAUGGAAGGGCCAUCGCUCAACGGAUAAAAGCUACCCCGGGGAUAACAGGCUUAUCUCCCCCAAGAGUCCACAUCGACGGGGAGGUUUGGCACCUCGAUGUCGGCUCGUCGCAUCCUGGGGCUGUAGUCGGUCCCAAGGGUUGGGCUGUUCGCCCAUUAAAGCGGCACGCGAGCUGGGUUCAGAACGUCGUGAGACAGUUCGGUCCCUAUCCGUCGCGGGCGCAGGAAAUUUGAGAGGAGCUGUCCUUAGUACGAGAGGACCGGGAUGGACACACCGCUGGUGUACCAGUUGUUCCGCCAGGAGCAUCGCUGGGUAGCUAUGUGUGGCAGGGAUAAACGCUGAAAGCAUCUAAGCGUGAAGCCCCCCUCAAGAUGAGAUUUCCCAUUUCUUCGGAAAGUAAGAUCCCUGAAAGAUGAUCAGGUAGAUA
rnacentral:rRNA from 1 species